GGCAUGUCUAAGUUUAAAAGCAUUUUUAACUUGAAACUGCGAACGGCUCAUUANAAACCAGCUUAUCGUCCAUUUGAUAGUCUUUCUUACAAGGAUACUUGUGGCAAAUCUAGAAAUAAUACUUGCAUCAAAAGGCGACUUCGGAAGCCUUGCAUUUGUUUGAUUUAAACCAAUACCUUUCGGGGUUUUUGAGGUGAUUCAGAACAACUUAGCGAAUCGCAGUGCCCUUGUGGCGGCGAUGAAUCAUUCGAGUUUCUGCCCCAUCAGGUUUCAUUCCGAAGGUAUUGUCUUCGGAAGCCAGUCACGGGUGACGGAGAAUCAGGGUUCGAUUCCGGAGAGGGAGCCUUAGAGACGGCUACCACAUCCAAGGAAGGCAGCAGGGGCGUAAAUUACUCAAUACCAAUACGGUGAAGUAGUGNNGAGAAAUAUCAUUAAGGAGCCCUUCGGGUUUUUUAAAUGAAAUGAGAGCAAUCUAAAAACCUCAUCGAGGAUCAAUUGGAGGGCAAGUCUGGUGCCAGCAGCCGCGGUAAUUCCAGCUCCAAUAGCGAAUACUAAUUCUGCUGCAGUUAAAAAAGCUCGUAGUUGAACCUCUGGUAGGGCAGAUCCGGCCGUUGGGAUGAUUCCCUUUGUUGCUGUGUGUCUUGUCUGG
rnacentral:rRNA from 1 species